rnacentral:misc_RNA from 1 species
AGCUGAGCUAUCCGGCCAUUCCGAGCGUAGUAAUCCAUACACAUUUUUUUAUUUUAGUCGAUGAAGGGGUCUUUGUCAAUUAAAGGGAAAGGGGGGAUUACGCAUUUUUCUCCAARUACUUCAAUUUCUUUGAUCUUCAAAAAGACCACUUUAUGGGUUUCAGUAUUCGUAAAGCUAUUGAUUGAAAAUUCAUUUUUAUCGGGAUUCCUUGCUAAAAUUGGAUGUGUAUUCUAAUCACACGGGAGAAGAUAAAGUCAUUUACACCCAACUACGUUUGUCAAAGAAUGGUAAAAAUAAAGAAAUUUGUAACCGAAAGGGGAACGAUUUGGGGAGUAAAAUAGUUUAUUUGGGGAUAGAGGGACUUGAACCCUCACGACGUUAAAAGUCAACGGAUUUUCCUCUUACUAUAAAUUUCAUUGUUGCCGGUAUUGACAUGUAGAAGGGGACUCUAUCUUUAUUCUUGUCCGAUUGAUCAGUUCUUUAAAAGGCUUAUCGGACUAUGGGGUGAAUGAUUUGAUGAAUAAAAAUUCUAUUUUUUCAUGAAUGUCGAAUGAAUUCACACCAAUCCUUUUUCUAUGUUUCAUAGAAAAAAACAUCUAGAGAUUUGGGCCUUUAUUAAUUAUUUUCUUUUUUUUUUAGAAAAAAUUAAAUUAUAU